GCCAGAAAACUAUGAAGUGUUAUUUCCAAACACGUAUCUGACUGCUUUUUAUGGAAACCUGACUGUUUCUGAGU
rnacentral:snoRNA from 1 species